GAUGAACGCUGGCGGUAUGCUUAACACAUGCAAGUCGAACGGUCUCUUCGGAGAUAGUGGCGGACGGGUGAGUAACGCGUGAGAAUCUGGCUUUAGGUCUGGGACAACCACUGGAAACGGUGGCUAAUACCGGAUGUGCCGAAAGGUGAAAGGUUAACUGCCUGGAGAUGAGUUCGCGUCUGAUUAGCUAGUUGGUAGGGUAAGAGCUUACCAAGGCGACGAUCAGUAGCUGGUCUGAGAGGACGAUCAGCCACACUGGGACUGAGACAC
rnacentral:rRNA from 1 species